GAGGCCCUUGGACAUCGAAGAAAUAAUCUUUGUAAAUCAUUCAUUGACAAGUUGAAGUCUGUCGGACGUACACAAAACAACCUUCUGGCACAGAUUAUAAAUAAUCGCCCUCAAGUAAGCGAUAAAAAGUACAGUAGCCUACGUAUAAUGUAAGCUAGGUCACAACCAAUAUAUUACUAUGCCUCAUACGAAUACGCCAUAAACGUUAUUGCAAUUAGAUUUUCUUAAUGUAUAUACGUGUAUUAUCAGGUAAUUGUUACCAAACAUGUAGCAAGGUAAUCAAUAUUUCGAGUUUGGCAAGCGAAUGCAGGAGUAUCACGUUUCGACCGCGAAGUAAUAUAUAUGGCUUCGCUCAUUUAACGUAUCGGCUUGCUGAUCAGUUCAAAACAAAAAGCAGGGCUGUCAUCGGGUGUAACAAAAUAAUAAACAGAGGAAGGCAAGGUUAUACUAUUUUUCAAAAUAAAAUGAUUUCAA